rnacentral:rRNA from 1 species
CAGCAGCCACGGGAAAACGGAGGGUGCAAGCGUUAUCCGGAUUUAUUGGGUUUAAAGGGUCCGUAGGCGGAUCUGUAAGUCAGUGGUGAAAUCUCACAGCUUAACUGUGAAACUGCCAUUGAUACUGCAGGUCUUGAGUAAAUUUGAAGUGGCUGGAAUAAGUAGUGUAGCGGUGAAAUGCAUAGAUAUUACUUAGAACACCAAUUGCGAAGGCAGGUCACUAAGAUUUAACUGACGCUGAGGAGCGAAAGCAUGGGGAGCGAACAGGAUUAGAGACCCCUGUAGUCCCUGUCUCUUAUAC